rnacentral:lncRNA from 1 species
UUUGAUUCGAGAGGAUGAUGCUGGAUGCGAAGAUCGUGGGAUUUGGCUUCAGGAGUUCAUAUACGGAUGCUGAGAAGCUCUGAUAUGCGGAUGGCUUGCUGGGAUUCAUCCGGAAGUUGGGAAAGAUACGCGGAUCAAGGCAGAAAAGACUCGGUUCCGAGAUGCAAGGGAUUCAUCCGUUGGACGAUGGAGUUAAGCUGAAUCGAAAGGAAGCUUGGAAUGUUAAGAUUUGCUAGAAUUGGAGCUUAUCUGUGGAUGAAGAGGAGGAUCUUGGCUCUGCUCCGAAACAGGGGAAGAAAACGUGCGAACUCGUGGAUGAUGGAGUCAAUCCGAACGGCUGAAAUGCUGCGGACGUGGAGCAGGGAAGAUGAUAAGUGCUAAAUAAUGCAUAAAUUAAUAUCUUAUUCAUAGCACUUAUCAUUAUUUUAAUUCACAUAUUUUUGUAAAUUCAACUAAAAAUUGAAUUAUCUUCAUUAUUGCAUUAUUAAAAAUAAUUCGAUUUUUGCUUGAUUAUAUUGGUCCAUCUAAUGUAUGCAGGUCGAAUCAAAUUCAUCUGGGAUGACCCCUGAACCCAAAUCACACGCACCCUAUGAAUCAGGUCCUCUUAGAUUAUGAUUCAGCCUCUCAAACCCACUCUUCAGCUUGUGUGCACGCCGUUCACAGAGCCACAUCUAAACCUUUUUAUCCACCCAGAUUUCUUCUUCGAACGCCAUCCCGUGCAUCAUCCAAUCCAACCGGAUCCCAGACUUCUUCCCAACGUCUGCUAUCAUCCCGAUUAACCCCAGCUCCUUCAUUCUGUUUUCUUCCCAGUGUCUAUAUCUCCACGGGAUAAAAUCAAAUCCCACAGACUUCCCAGCUUCAGCCGAGAUCCCAACUUAUCUCCCCUGUUUCAUGUUCAAUCCGUUCGUAAUCAUCCCGUUA